rnacentral:rRNA from 1 species
UACGGGGGGGCAAGCGUUGUUCGGAAUUACUGGGCGUAAAAGGGUUCGUAGGUGGCCAACUUAAGUCAGACGUGAAAUCCCUCAGCUCAACUGGGGAACUGCGUCUGAUUACUGGUUGGCUUGAGUGCAGGAGAGGAACGCGGAAUUCCAGGUGUAGCGGUGAAAUGCGUAGAUAUCUGGAGGAACACCGGUGGCGAAGGCGGCGUUCUG